CAGACUCUGCCAGGAUCAUGCUCUGCUACCAUAGAGACUUGGUCUAGGUCAGAAGUAACAGAGAAAAAGCCAGAAGAAGCAAGAGAACCCAGAUCAACCAAUUCUUAGAACCAGAUGGUCCCGGAGGAGCCUGCGAGCUUCCUCUGUAGCAUUUCAGGCUGAAUCCACUGUUAUUCGAAAUUGAUACAGAAGAGAACGUAAGGGGGCACUGAGGACCAGUUAGUUCUGUCUGCUGUGGACAGCAACACUGCCAGGGACUCAGCGAGAUCAUCUUGGCUCUCAGGGGAAAUAAUGGCAGGGAAGGCGCAAAUAUUAGUCUGUGGAGGAAAAGCCUCUGCUGCGAAACGGAGCAUGAACCUCAGAGCGCUGCAUUCUGGUCUGCAUUUCUCCGGUGAGAACUUGUUUUCAGCCAUCACCCCUCUCUGGGGCCUCAGUUUCCAUCAGACAAAAAUGAAGGGGGCUGGCCUAGAGGUCCUCUGAAGCCCUUGCCUGCUCUGAUACAUUCAGUAGUUCGACAAACGCACUCUACCUUCCCAGUCUCCGGACAGCUGCAAGCAGGAAGGCCACUGUGGAACCCAUGGGAACUGCUACCUGUAGGGUCUACUUCCUGUCCCCACUCCACGAACCCAUGGGAACAGCGAUUCUCUGGAGAAACGAGAUUCUUAUACAAACCCUCUGCUUCCACAGACGAUGCGAAGGACCAGGCAGCUCACAAGUGAGGACGACAAGGGCCAGAGAGGUUAAAUCACUUCCAUGAGGUCACCAGACCUCUCUCUGUACUCAUCCUUGGCAGACAGCAGGCCCAAGAGGAGGAGGAGGCAGGAGCAGAUUUGCUCUGCUAAGUCAAGAACCCUUCCCCGGGUGGCAUCAGAUUUCAUCUGGCCAAGCUGACAGAGAAGUGAUUAGCAGUCUAAAGGAUACCAACUCCACCUUGGAAAGAUGCCAUGACCCAGAGAAGCCAGUUCUCUUCCUGGCUCAGAAGUGGGAGGAGCUGCACUUGGGAUUCCUACUGUGGUAUUGAGAACCAGCUCCCAGGCUCUGCAAGAUGAAAACCAAUCCUAGAGUUAAACCAAGAUGUCAGGCCGGCUAGGGAGUGGGAAAGAGAAGGAAGCCCAAGUUUAAACAAAAAUGGCCUCGAGGCCGGCUUUCUUUCCUUACUCAAUCUUGCGACUUUCAGAAGAGCCAGCUAUGUGACCAGCGAGACUCCGAGCACAUGACGUUCACUUUAUGAAUCAAAUGUCCCGCCUGGUGGCUCCAACAGGACCAGGAUGAGGCACCACAGGGCAAGGCAUCAGAGGACUACACAAACCCAGGGGCCGCUGUGUGGCUGACUUCAGGAAUGUGAAUGGGGCUGCCAAGUGUGUGACUUGAAACCAUACUGGUGCACCAAGGAUCUUCAAGGUAUGCGACAGCGUUGAGGAUGAAAGAGAAGAUGGCCCAGGAGCUGGUGGUGCACACGUUUAUUCCCAGCACUCAGAAGGCAGAAAGUGCUCGAACUGAGGUUUCUGAAAGCAAACCUGCAGACUGAUGGACUCCUUAAAACUUCCUGAUUGUGGAAGGUGAGAAUGUUGCAGAGCCAAAGCCAACAUCAUCUUGUGACAUUGUUAGUUCUCUCAAUAGCCGUUACUCACCUUCCUCUGCAUCCGACUUAAGACCUAUGGGACGAUCAGGAAAGACUUUAGGAAUGUAUUAACUUGGCUGGCCAUCAUCACCCCCAAGGGCAAGAAUGUCAUCAGAGAACAUCCGAGGAUCUCAACAGGAUCUCCCACUUGGCUGCAACCUCAUGUCCCAGCAAUGUGUUUGACAAAUGCUUUGAUUUGUGACUGUCUUGUGUUUGGUAACUUUUUAGGUUCAGGUCACCACAUCCAUGGUGGAACAUGUCAUUCAAGGCAGUCUGAGUCUGUGUCACUCAUAUUUGGUUUGGAAUAAAAUCUCUCUUAUCCCCUUUG
rnacentral:lncRNA from 1 species